CAUUAAAGAAUACAAGGCUUUCGAGCCCUAUUCUCACCCUUUGUUUAUUAACUUUGUUGCUUUGGCAGCCUCACCCACUGGGGUGCAGCUGUCAGAGGCCUAACUCUUGAAUCUCUGCUGUCUGAGUACUAUCUAAUAGUUAAAACUUUCAACAACGGAUCUCUUGGUUCUGGCAUCGAUGAAGAACGCAGCGAAAUGCGAUAAGUAAUGUGAAUUGCAGAAUUCAGUGAAUCAUCGAAUCUUUGAACGCACAUUGCGCCCUCUGGUAUUCCGGGGGGCAUGCCUGUUCGAGCGUCAUUACAACCCUCAAGCUCUGCUUGGUGUUGGGCUCGCCCUGUAGGGCCUGCCUCAAAGUCAGUGGCGGCACCGUCUGACCCUAAGCGUAGUACUACUCGCCGCUUCUGGAAUCGGUCGGCUGCCUGCCAGCCUAACCCCC
rnacentral:rRNA from 1 species